rnacentral:misc_RNA from 1 species
CCCUAGCCCCGAUUGAGCGGUUUGUUUGAGCUCUUUUCCGUUUCAGGGUUUCGGCGGCGAAGCCGCCGAAACCCUGAAACGGAAAAAACGAGUAGCGAAAGCGGGAAAUAGC